UACGGAGGGGGCUAGCGUUGUUCGGAAUCACUGGGCGUAAAGGGUGCGUAGGUGGCGUGGUAAGUCAGAUGUGAAAGCCCGGGGCUCAACCCCGGAAUUGCAUCCGAUACUACCAUGCUAGAGUACUGAAGAGGUGACUAGAAUUCUCGGUGUAGCAGUGAAAUGCGUAGAUAUCGAGAGGAAUACCAACGGCGAAGGCAGGUCACUGGGCAGUUACUGACACUGAGGCACGAAGGCCAGGGGAGCAAACGGG
rnacentral:rRNA from 1 species